GACAAACAGGUCAAAUUAAAAUUAGUGUAGUAAAAAAGGAGGUUAUAAAAUUUUUUUUGGGGAAUAAUGCUUUUUAGGGAGGUGGAAUUUAUAUAAAAAGAAGUAAUUUAGGUUUUCCGUUUUUUGAGGCCUCGAAAUUUUGUUAUAAGACCGGGAUUAGAUACCCCGUUAUUCAAAAUGUAAACUUUGAUUGUAUUUGUAAUUUACUUGAGUAUUAUGAGUAUAGGAAGUUGUAUUUCUGUUUUACUUAAAACUCAAAAAACUUGGCGGUGCCUUAUAUCCUUCCAGGGGAACCUGUCCUGUAAUCGAUAGUCCACGUUUUAGCUUUCUUUCUUUUGAAUGUAUCAGUUUGUAUACCGUCGUCGUCAGAUUACCUUUAAGGGUUGUGAAGUUAUCGGCAGGAAAAGAUGAAUGAAUAGUGUAUUACUAUAUGAGAAAACACUAGGGAUUUGAGUUCUAGACGUCAGAUCAAGGUGCAGCUUAUAAGAGAGUAGAGAUGGGUUACAAUAAUGUUUUAUUAAUACGGAUUUUUGUUGUAAGUAGCAUAAUUGAAGGAGGACUUGGAAGUAAUUAGUUUAAAGAUGAGAGAGUUUAGAUGAAAAUAGGCUCUGAGGUGCGU
rnacentral:rRNA from 1 species